UAGGGAAUCUUCCGCAAUGGGCGAAAGCCUGACGGAGCAACGCCGCGUGAGUGAUGAAGGUCUUCGGAUCGUAAAACUCUGUUAUUAGGGAAGAACAAAUGUGUAAGUAACUAUGCACGUCUUGACGGUACCUAAUCAGAAAGCCACGGCUAACUACGUGCCAGCAGCCGCGGUAAUACGUAGGUGCCAAGCGUUAUCCGGAAUUAUUGGGCGUAAAGCGCGCGUAGGCGGUUUUUUAAGUCUGAUGUGAAAGCCCACGGCUCAACCGUGGAGGGUCAUUGGAAACUGGAAAACUUGAGUGCAGAAGAGGAAAGUGGAAUUCCAUGUGUAGCGGUGAAAUGCGCAGGGAUAUGGAGGAACACCAGUGGCGAAGGCGACUUUCUGGUCUGUAACUGACGCUGAUGUGCGAAAGCGUGGGGAUCAAACAGG
rnacentral:rRNA from 1 species